rnacentral:rRNA from 1 species
AUUGAACGCUGGCGGAAUGCUUUACACAUGCAAGUCGAACGGCAGCACGGACUUCGGUCUGGUGGCGAGUGGCGAACGGGUGAGUAAUGUAUCGGAACGUGCCCAGUCGUGGGGGAUAACGUAGUGAAAAUUACGCUAAUACCGCAUACGAUCUAUGGAUGAAAGCGGGGGAUCGCAAGACCUCGCGCGAUUGGAGCGGCCGAUAUCAGAUUAGGUAGUUGGUGGGGUAAAGGCCCACCAAGCCAACGAUCUGUAGCUGGUCUGAGAGGACGACCAGCUACACUGGAACUGAGACACGGUCAAGACUCCUACGGGAGGCAGCAGUGGGGAAUUUUGGACAAUGGGCGAAAGGCUGAUCCAGCCAUUCCGCGGGCAGGAUGAAGGCCCUCGGGUUGUAAACUGCUUUUGUACAGAACGAAAAGGUUUCUACUAAUACUAGGAGCUCAUGACGGUACUGUAAGAAUAAGCACCGGCUAACUACGUGCCAGCCGCCGCGGUAA